rnacentral:rRNA from 1 species
GACGAACGCUGGCGGCGUGCUUAACACAUGCAAGUCGAACGGUGAAAGCGGAGCUUGCUCCGCUGGAUCAGUGGCGAACGGGUGAGUAACACGUGGGCAACCUGCCCCUCACUUCGGGAUAACUCCGGGAAACCGGGGCUGAUACCGGAUAUGACCUCCUUGGGCAUCCUUGGAGGUGGAAAGUUUUUCGGUGAGGGAUGGGCCCGCGGCCUAUCAGCUUGUUGGUGAGGGAGUGGCUCACCAAGGCGACGACGGGUAGCCGGCCUGAGAGGGCGACCGGCCACACUGGGCCUGAGACACGGCCCAGACUCCUACGGGAGGCAGCAGUGGGGAAUAUUGCGCAAUGGGCGAAAGCCUGACGCAGCAACGCCGCGUGCGGGAUGACGGCCUUCGGGUUGUAAACCGCUUUCAGCAGGGAAGAAGCCGCAAGGUGACGGUACCUGCAGAAGAAGCACCGGCUAACUACGUGCCAGCCGCCGCCGUAA